rnacentral:lncRNA from 1 species
CCAAAUCCAUUUCCUACUUUCAUAUGUGCCGUUUGGACUUUGGUCAAAACCCUUAUGCUUGAAUUCACAGUUUGCCACCAAUUGGCUAUACUUCACUCUAGGUUAUAGUUGUAACACUCGUACCUUAUACGAAUAUCCCUCACUAUGGAAACCAAGAACAAGGAUAAGAAUCACGAACCCCUGGUAUUUUAUUUUAUUUUUGUGUUAUUUCUACCAAUAUGUUCAAUUUUCUAUUUCUUCGCUUUCUCCUUCGUUUUAGCUUGUUAAUGACGAGAUUUGAGACAUUUGCAUUUGAAGAUGAAAUGCUAAUGAUGUAUUUAUUAAAAUAACUUUUAACAUUUUUAUUAUUUCUAACAAAUUGAGACAAUUGUAUACUUACAAGUAAAUUAUCUAUUUGUUAACUAAAAUUAAUAUAAAUUUAUAAAAAAAAGUACUUGCGGGCGAUGUACCAAGCAAAGGCUUAAAAGUAGUAAUUUGUCUCCUUUCUUGUGAAGGCCUUAACCUCUAGUUAUAGAGUUGGUUAUCGGAGUUGUGGGGAGUUGGAGAGUAGUUGGCAACCUGGGUUGAAUCACUUGUUGGGUCAAACCGGUCUUUAUAGGGCGGUAUCUCCGGCCCAAUAUUAUUAUAUCGGUCUAAAGGAGAUAUUCUUCACUUCUUAUUUUCUUCCAUAUUCUCCUUUCCCUUAUUCAAUGAUAUCGGGUUUAUGUAUGAUUUUCGGUUAACACAUUUCCUUGACUCGUUGUUGACCUGAAUGUUUUAUCUUUCUUGGAAGUUUGCUAUAAUAUAAUAUGUGAGGGUUGAGCUUGAAUACAUUCUAAAUGAGAAAGCAUUACAGUUUUGUCUAUUUCAAUUCGCCCCAUUUUCAUUUUAUUAAGAUGAAUAUGAUUAACAGAACAAGCAAGACAAAGUUGAACCAGAU